rnacentral:rRNA from 1 species
AACGAACGCUGGCGGCAGGCCUAACACAUGCAAGUCGAGCGAGGACUUCGGUUCUAGCGGCGGACGGGUGAGUAACGCGUGGGAAUGUGCCCUUCUCUACGGAAUAGCCCUGGGAAACUGGGAGUAAUACCGUAUACGCCCUAUUGGGGAAAGAUUUAUCGGAGAAGGAUCAGCCCGCGUUGGAUUAGGUAGUUGGUGGGGUAAUGGCCUACCAAGCCGACGAUCCAUAGCUGGUUUGAGAGGAUGAUCAGCCACACUGGGACUGAGACACGGCCCAGACUCCUACGGGAGGCAGCAGUGGGGAAUCUUAGACAAUGGGGGCAACCCUGAUCCAGCCAUGCCGCGUGAGUGAUGAAGGCCUUAGGGUUGUAAAGCUCUUUCAGCUGGGAAGAUAAUGACGGUACCAGCAGAAGAAGCCCCAGCUAACUCCGUG